GCAUAAUCAUUUGCCCGUUAAUUGCGGGCUAGUAUGAACGGGUAAACGAAAUAGAAGCUGUCUCAGUUAAACAUAUAAAAAUUAGCCUCUAGAUGAAGAGAUCUAAAUAAAAUUGAAGGACAAGAAGACCCUAUAGAGCUUUAUUCAAACUUAAUAUUUAUCUAUGAAGCAAGAAUUCGGUUGGGGCGACCAAGGACUAUAAAUCAUCCUAUAAUUAUAAAGACUAACAUGUCAAAUUAUAUGACCCUAUAUUAGAUCAAAGGAACAAGCUACCUUAGGGAUAACAGGCUAAUCCUCCUAUAGAGACCUUAUUAACAGGAGGGAUUGGCACCUC
rnacentral:rRNA from 1 species